GCAGGGAUAGCUCAGCCGGUGGAGCACAAGACGCUCAAUCUCAAAGUCGUGGGUUUGAGCCCCAUGUUGGGCA